AGGAUAAACGCUGGCGGCGUGCCUAACACAUGCAAGUCGAACGCGCUUACUAUCCGCGAGGAGGGUGAGCGAGUGGCGGACGGGUGAGGAACACGUGGGUGACCUACCUUUCAGUGAGGGAUACCGGCGAGAAAUUGCCGACAAGACCGCAUACGCUUCUCUUUUCAAGGGGGAGAAGGAAAGCUUUUCGCAAGAGAGGCGCUGGGAGAUGGGCCUGCGGCCGAUUAGCUAGCUGGUGGGGUAAUGGCCUACCAGGGCGACGAUCGGUAGCUGGUCUGAGAGGACGAUCAGCCACACUGGGAUUGAGAACGGCCCAGACUCCUACGGGGGGCAGCAGUGAGGAAUUUUCGGCAAUGGGGGCAACCCUGACCGAGCAACGCCGCGUGCAGGACGACGGCCUUCGGGUUGUAAACUGCUUUUCUCUGGGACGAGCAAGGACGGUACCAGAGGAAGAAGCCCGGCUAACUACGCGCCAGCAGCCGCGGU
rnacentral:rRNA from 1 species